UACAGAGGUCUCAAGCGUUGUUCGGAUUCAUUGGGCGUAAAGGGUGCGUAGGCGGCGCGGUAAGUCGGGUGUGAAAUCUCGGAGCUUAACUCCGAAACUGCAUUCGAUACUGCCGUGCUUGAGGACUGGAGAGGAGACUGGAAUUUACGGUGUAGCGGUGAAAUGCGUAGAUAUCGUAAGGAAGACCAGUGGCGAAGGCGGUUCUCUGGGCAUUACCUGACGCUGAGGAGCGAAAGCGUGGGGAGCAAACAGG
rnacentral:rRNA from 1 species